rnacentral:rRNA from 1 species
UACGAAGGUCCCGAGCGUUAUCCGGAUUUAUUGGGGUUAAAGGGUGCGUAGGUGGCUUUGUAAGUCAGUGGUGAAAGCCCGGAGCUCAACUCCGGAACUGCCAUUGAUACUGCUUAGCUUGAAUCACGUCGAGGUGGAUGGAAUAAUACAUGUAGCGGUGAAAUGCUUAGAUAUGUAUUAGAACACCGAUUGCGAAGGCAGUUCACUAGGCGUGUAUUGACACUGAGGCACGAAAGCGUGGGGAUCAAACAGG